rnacentral:rRNA from 1 species
AACGAACGCUGGCGGCAUGCCUAACACAUGCAAGUCGAACGAGACCUUCGGGUCUAGUGGCGCACGGGUGCGUAACGCGAGGGAACCUGCCCUUAGGUUCGGAAUAACUCCCCGAAAGGGGUGCUAAUACCGGAUAAUGUCUUCGGACCAAAGAUUUAUCGCCUUUGGAUGGGCCCGCGUUGGAUUAGCUAGUUGGUAGGGUAAAAGCCUACCAAGGCGACGAUCCAUAGCUGGUCUGAGAGGAUGAUCAGCCACACUGGGACUGAGACACGGCCCAGACUCCUACGGGAGGCAGCAGUGGGGAAUAUUGGACGAUGGGCGAGAGCCUGAUCCAGCAAUGCCGCGUGAGUGAUGAAGGCCUUAGGGUUGUAAAGCUCUUUUACCCGGGAUGAUAAUGACAGUACCGGGAGAAUAAGCUCCGGCUAACUCCGUG